UACGUAGGGUGCGAGCGUUAUUCGGAAUUACUGGGCGUAAAGCGUGCGCAGGCGGUUUGUUAAGUCAGGCGUGAAAUCCCCGGGCUCAACCUGGGAACUGCGCUUGUGACUGGCAGGCUAGAGUACGGCAGAGGGGGGUGGAAUUCCACGUGUAGCAGUGAAAUGCGUAGAGAUGUGGAGGAACACCAAUGGCGAAGGCAGCCCCCUGGGUCGAUACUGACGCUCAUGCACGAAAGCGUGGGUAGCAAACAGG
rnacentral:rRNA from 1 species